CCAAUAGCGUAUAUUAAAGUUGUUGCAGUUAAAAAGCUCGUAGUUGAAUUUCGGGAUCAAUAUGUUGGUCGUGCCUUUGGUACGUACUAGUUUAUUGGUUUCUUCCUUCUGACGAACCAUGAUGUCAUUAAUUUGGUGUCAUGGGGAAUCAGGACUGUUACUUUGAAAAAAUUAGAGUGUUUAAAGCAGGCUUCACGCUCGAAUACAUUAGCAUGGAAUAAUGAAAUAGGACGUUUGAUUCUAUUUUGUUGGUUUUUAGGAUCGACGUAAUGAUUAAUAGGGAUAGUUGGGGGCAUUAGUAUUCAAUUGUCAGAGGUGAAAUUCUUGGAUUUAUUGAAGACUAACUACUGCGAAAGCAUUUGCCAAGGAUGUUUUCAUUAAUCAAGAACGAAAGUUAGGGGAUCGAAGACGAUCAGAUACCGUCGUAGUCUUAACCAUAAACUAUGCCGACUAGGGAUCGGAUGAUGUUAAUUUUUUAAUGACUCAUUCGGUGCCUUACG
rnacentral:rRNA from 1 species